UGUUAAAAACUUCAUCCGUUUCAAAUGUUAAAAAUUGGCCUAGCUGAUGAAGUAACCAAACAGCUACACGUUGCGUGCCACGUGUACCUUAUAUUGACAUAUAUGGACCAUCUUUUAACAGAAAAAUAUGGACGAAUUUUUAACA
rfam:Gossypium hirsutum cultivar TM-1 unplaced genomic scaffold scaffold755.1, whole genome shotgun sequence